rnacentral:ncRNA from 17 species
CCGGCAACGGGCGAUGGGGUUCGCCGCAACCGCCUCAGGCAGAUCCUAGGGAUAAAGUUUCUCUAAGACUUAGAGCUGGGGCUGAUGACUCCUACUCUUCU